UGGCGGCGCGCCUAACACAUGCAAGUCGAACGGAGUUAUGUUGGCAGAAGUUUUCGGACGGACGCGGAUAUAACUUAGUGGCGAACGGGUGAGUAACACGUGAGCAACCUACCCUUCAGAGGGGGACAACAGUUGGAAACGACUGCUAAUACCGCAUAAGACCACGGUGUGGCAUCACACAGAGGUCAAAGGAGAAAUCCGCUGAAGGAUGGGCUCGCGUCCAAUUAGCUAGAUGGUGAGGUAACGGCCCACCAUGGCGACGAUUGGUAGCCGGACUGAGAGGUUGAUCGGCCACAUUGGGACUGAGACACGGCCCAGACUCCUACGGGAGGCAGCAGUGGGGAAUAUUGCACAAUGGAGGAAACUCUGAUGCAGCGACGCCGCGUGAGGGAAGAAGGUCUUCGGAUUGUAAACCUCUGUUGUCAGGGACGAUGAUGACGGUACCUGACGAGGAAGCCACGGCUAACUACGUGCCAGCAGCCGCGGUAAAACGUAGGUGGCAAGCGUUGUCCGGAAUUACUGGGUGUAAAGGGAGCGCAGGCGGGAGAGCAAGUUGGGAGUGAAAUCUGUGGGCUCAACCCACAAAUUGCUUUCAAAACUGUUUUUCUUGAGUGGUGUAGAGGUAGGCGGAAUUCCCGGUGUAGCGGUGGAAUGCGUAGAUAUCGGGAGGAACACCAGUGGCGAAGGCGGCCUACUGGGCACUAACUGACGCUGAGGCUCGAAAGCAUGGGUAGCAAACAGGAUUAGAUACCCUGGUAGUCCAUGCCGUAAACGAUGAUUACUAGGUGUGGGAGGAUUGACCCCUUCCGUGCCGCAGUUAACACAAUAAGUAAUCCACCUGGGGAGUACGACCGCAAGGUUGAAACUCAAAGGAAUUGACGGGGGCCCGCACAAGCAGUGGAGUAUGUGGUUUAAUUCGAAGCAACGCGAAGAACCUUACCAGGUCUUGACAUCCCGUGCAUAGCUAAGAGAUUAGUGAAGUCCUUCGGGACACGGAG
rnacentral:rRNA from 1 species